GGUGAUGCUGCUGAGGGAUCCAGAGCCUCAGGACAGAUGGCAGGGCAGUGCCUGGGGACCUGAUGAGGACCCGGGCAGCUGGAAGGCAGGGAAGGCCUCCUGGGAGGGGGUGGAGACGGGGGCCAGGCCGGGACAGAAGUGCAGGAGCUCACAGUCAGGAGAGGAGGCUCCAGCCUGCACGGGCUGACCCCUGACGACAGAGGGAGAGACAGAGGCAAUGUGUCCUGCUGGAUGACAUUCACAAAACACGAGUUCAAAGAGGAAACUAAAUUCAAGACAGAGAACGAAAGGCAGAGAAUGGAACCAGCACAGAGCCCUUCUGAGCACAGGCCCUGGCCACUGCCCAGGUGACACACCCACAAAGCAGGGCCUGUCUCUGGAAAAGAGCUGGUGGGAAACUGAAUUCUGCCAUCAUGUCUGUGAGCCUGGGGUGGACUGUCCCCAGCUGAGCCUUGAGAUGAUCACAGGCUCAGGCAACACUUCUGUCACAGCCCAUGAGAGACCCUGAGCCACAGGACCCCCAGAGAUAGUCAUCAAUUCUCAAAGGAUGACAUCGAUUUAAUAAACGCCUAAUAUGUACAAUCACUACGUGUCAAUUAGAAAUAAAAAAACAAAUGAGAACGACA